AUGUGCGGCUGGAUGGAGAGGAUGGGGGGAAAAUGAAAAGGAAGGUGCCAUAUAGAGAGGCAAGGAGAGGUUAUGGGGAAGACACAGGGUGAGGCAAGUCAGACGUGGUUGAGACAGGGCUGGCUGGAGGCUAUGAAGUCAAUGCUGAUACCUGAAAAGAGAUCUGAGCGAGGCUAGAAUAAGUGACUUGGAAAGAAUGGAGGGUAAGGAAGUAAAGGAGAAAUGCUGGGUGAGGGGGCCUGAAUCUAUUAAACCGAUAGUGGGUACAUGAUAGGCAAUGCAAGGGAUUUUUGCAGAGUUGAGGGAGCACAUGGUCUUCACGGAUAUAGAAACAUGUAGCCACCCGAGCCAUCAGGGAGUGACCUCCUCGUCUUGGAGAAGUGGGUACAGAAAGCAGUUUGCUCUCCUGUGAGUUCUAGACCACAUCUAGGGCCGGUGACAGUGCUGUCUGUGCACGGGACUUGGUGUUCCAUGUGCUGUUUGGGCAUGAAGUACUGAAUCCACUUUCAGAAAUGCUCAGCAUAGCUUGGUCUAAAAUGGCCACAGCGAACAUGGGAACGGUAGGUGUAAGUUAGACAACACUAACUUUUGUCGGAUCUUUGAUCGAGCUGUGUGUCAUAUUGGAAACAAGUUCAUCAAUCUGCCACCCCGGCAUCCCACGAGAAAAGCGUGAUGUGGUCCUAGGCCAUAUGUUUUAAGUAAAGAGGAGAUGGGGGGCGUGUCAGGAUGAAGGAAAUGUGGGAAGAUGUUCUAAAGACAUGUACUAGAAAACUGAACAGUGUCAGGUUUCAUCCAGGACAAAAAGAAAAGAAUUGCAACCCACUGGUUUUUGCAACUUUGAUGCUAAGUUGAAUUCUUGGGCCUGCGCUUGCAGUAUAGUCUUUUUGUUUUGUUUUGUUUUGAAGCCUAUGCCCUUGGGCACUAUGUGAGGUAAGCACCUAAUGUUUUUGCAAGAUGCACAUUCUGGUGUACUCUGGGAAAUCCUUUUUGAAGUUUCCUAUUCUGGCAACGGAUGAAUGUCAUUGGUGCUUGGUGAAUUAACUGGGAUCCUGAGUUAAGAAGAAAGGAAACCGGAUAGUUACUCAGGACUUGAGUAGGCUGGCAGGAAAAGACUAGGGAAGGACCAUUUAGUUGUCCCAAGUUUUUCAGAAAUUUUUUAAUUUGCAAUUAUCUGAGACUUGAAAUAAGUUACAAAAGAAUCAGUGCAGAAUAGCCUUAGCCUGAAUCUAGUCCGCCCCCCAACCACUGAAAAUAUUUUAGUCUAUUUUCCUCCACUGAAACCAUGGUCUGUUUUGACCCAUUUUCAAAACUGAACUCUAGGCCUGACUUGGCUUGUGCCAGUUUUCCUACCUUGUACCCAUUUGCUCACUGGCUAUUAUGACCCUUUCUUGGUUUGUAACCUGGCUUUGGUGGCAUACAGGAUAAAGAGUCUGUCUAGGUAUUACUCUACACCUGAGAGAGAACAUCAAACUGAUACAAAUGAGAGAGAACAUCAAACGGACAAGCUCUUUUAUCAGUGAACAAUACUCCACCUUUUUGCUGAAUCCACUUUCAAAUAAAGUUCUUCCUUGCUGGACCCAGAAUGGCCACAGCAUCACAAAGGAGUCACGUGCAGUGUUUAGCUCUCUGUUUGGUAUCCCAAACACUCCAAGAACAACUUAAGAAGAGUAACAUUAUAAAGGGCUUUUAAGUGGAAAGGGAUUCCAAACAGAAGAACAGGACACCUGUUGGUGAGAGGGGUCUAGGAGAAAGCAGUACUUUGGUCAAGAAUUAAAUGGGAUGGAAUGGAAGCACUUAAUGGGGCUGGAAUAAGACACAUACGACACAAAUAUAAACCCCUAAUGUGAGGUUAAAUGCUGUCUUCCGAGUACCAGAGAAACUUCGUUUGCUUAACUGUUUGUCCUUGCUUAGCUGUUAAACUAAAUGCAAGCACAACAGUUUCCUGGGGAACAUUUGAAACUGUAAUCUCCUAGACCUUGGGUUUUCUGUUAGACACUUUUACCCUGACUUUCUUAAGGACUACAGGAAAAUAGCCCUUAAGUCUGUGGCUUAUGAAGUUCCUAGCUCACAAGUGAAUAUUUUGUGAAUUUUAUGUUUUUAAUGAAUAAAGUAUGGAGAAAGUAUGUAUCACUUGUGUUAAUUUGGGGGAGAAGUGCUUUAUAACAUAGAGGGCUUAUUCUCAAUUAAAAAGAGAAAGAAAAAAGUGCCCUCAGGCAGUGUAUACCCUUGUAGUCUUUGUAAGGGAGAGAGAGAGAGAGAGAGAGAGAGAGAGAGAGAGAGAGAGAGAGAGAGAGAGAGAGAGAAGACGACUCUGGCUCCAAACUCAGCCCUCUGAAGAAAGCUAUUUAGUUUCUCCUACAGACACCUUGCCAGUAACCUUACAGGUCUUACAGGAGGGCAGACCUAAGUUCCGAGGCUGAUCUGCAACCACAGCUGUCCAUCAAGAAAACAUUCCUUUCAGUGCAAAAUGGUUCUUUGCUGUUUCUGGAUUCCCUUCUUCUUGCCCCAUGUCCUGUUCCUGAGGAGCUACUUCCUGUAGUAAUACGGUGGACUCUUCUAUGAGGAGACAACCUCUGGGUGUUUUUCAAUAGCCUGUGGUGGGUAAUGUGUUUUGUCAAGGGCUAAAUAGCAGAUGGAUUUAAUUUCUGCUUAAAACGGUCACAGUCAUUCUGAAACGGACACAUAAAAAUCCUCUGUAUUAGAAAACGGAAUGGAGCGCGGUGCCAAUUGUAUUUUUCUUUAUUUAUUCCCUGUAAGUCUGUCAGAUGAUAAAUUGUAAAUACCAGUGAUUAAAGAGUCAUGCUACUGA
rnacentral:lncRNA from 1 species